UGUCGUCAGCUCGUGUUGUGAAAUGUUGGGUUAAGUCCCGCAACGAGCGCAACCCUUAUCCUUUGUUGCCAGCGGUCCGGCCGGGAACUCAAAGGAGACUGCCAGUGAUAAACUGGAGGAAGGUGGGGAUGACGUCAAGUCAUCAUGGCCCUUACGACCAGGGCUACACACGUGCUACAAUGGCGCAUACAAAGAGAAGCGACCUCGCGAGAGCAAGCGGACCUCAUAAAGUGCGUCGUAGUCCGGAUUGGAGUCUGCAACUCGACUCCAUGAAGUC
rnacentral:rRNA from 1 species